rnacentral:lncRNA from 1 species
UGAUUUGCGUCACGAACGAUGUAUAAUAGGGCUAUUUUUUUUAACCUACACUGGCUACACGAGUGUAGCUAGUGUAGGAAGUCGCCA